GACGAACGCUGGCGGCGUGCCUAAUACAUGCAAGUAGAACGCUGAAGAGAGGAGCUUGCUCUUCUUGGAUGAGUUGCGAACGGGUGAGUAACGCGUAGGUAACCUGCCUUGUAGCGGGGAAUAACUAUUGGAAACGAUAGCUAAUACCGCAUAACAAUGGAUGACACAUGUCAUUUAUUUGAAAGGGGCAAUUGCUCCACUACAAGAUGGACCUGCGUUGUAUUAGCUAGUAGGUGAGGUAAUGGCUCACCUAGGCGACGAUACAUAGCCGACCUGAGAGGGUGAUCGGCCACACUGGGACUGAGACACGGCCCAGACUCCUACGGGAGGCAGCAGUAGGGAAUCUUCGGCAAUGGGGGCAACCCUGACCGAGCAACGCCGCGUGAGUGAAGAAGGGUUUCGGAUCGUAAAGCUCGGUUGUAAGUCAAGAACGGGUGUGAGAGUGGAAAGUUCACACUGUGACGGUAGCUUAACAGAAAGGGACGGCUAACUACGUG
rnacentral:rRNA from 1 species